rnacentral:lncRNA from 1 species
GCAGAGGCCUUGUCUAAGUCGUUUCAAAGUUAAUUAGCCAAGCCUGGUGGCGCCCAACUAGAGUUCCCACUCGGGAGGUCGAGGUGGGAGGACCACCUGAGCCCCGGAGGUCGAGGCUGCAGUGAGCCGAGAUCACCACUCCACUUCAGCCUGGGCGACUAAGCGAAACCCUGUCAAUUAAGAAAAAAAAAAAAUCCAAAUACAUUUUGUGAAAAAAAAAAAAAAAAAUCCAAAGCUACGCACACAUUAUCCAACUGCCUUUUGCUACUAAUAUUAUGAUGCUAAUUGAUUCCUUACAGCUUAAGUAUAUUUACAACAGCCCUUUUUGUUAUAGUAUUUUAUGCAUAAUCUAUAAUUUUGAAAUAGGCAUAAGCAUACAACAUAAGUGCUCAUUUAAGUAGUCUGAUGCCUACUACUGAUGACAUACAAUGUAAGUGCUCAUUUAGGCGUCAGACUACCUAAAUGAGCACUUACGUUUCAUGUCAAUAAAAAAGGGAAAAGGAUUUAUUGUUUGGACAUCAAUACCCAGUGAUAGAG